rnacentral:rRNA from 1 species
GUGGGGAAUCUUGCGCAAUGGGCGAAAGCCUGACGCAGCCAUGCCGCGUGAAUGAUGAAGGUCUUAGGAUUGUAAAAUUCUUUCACCGGGGACGAUAAUGACGGUACCCGGAGAAGAAGCCCCGGCUAACUUCGUGCCAGCAGCCGCGGUAAUACGAAGGGGGCUAGCGUUGCUCGGAAUUACUGGGCGUAAAGGGCGCGUAGGCGGACAGUUUAGUCAGAGGUGAAAGCCCAGGGCUCAACCUUGGAAUUGCCUUUGAUACUGGCUGCCUUGAGUACGGGAGAGGUGAGUGGAACUCCGAGUGUAGAGGUGAAAUUCGUAGAUAUUCGGAAGAACACCAGUGGCGAAGGCGACUCACUGGCCCGUUACUGACGCUGAGGCGCGAAAGCGUGGGGAGCAAACAGGAUUAGAAACCCCAGUAGUCC